UUACCCGGUGAAAUUAAGCAUAUCAGUAAGCGGAGGAAGAGAAACUAACCAGGAUUCUCCUAGUAACGGCGAGUGAACGGAGAUUAGCCCAUCACCGAAGUCUAUCCGUUCUUGCGGACAGGACAAUGUGGUGUUGAGGCGUGCCCCUGGGAGCGCUUGCCUACUCGAAGUCCAUCUCCGAUUCUGGCUUGGACAAUGCCCAUAGCGGGUGAAAGGCCCGUGCGGGUAGGCGUUGAUGUAUUGAGCGCUCCUCAGAUGUGCAUGCCCUCGAGUCGGAUUGCUUGAGAAUGCAGUCCAAAGCGGGUGGUAAACUCCAUCCAAGGCUAAAUACUGGCGCGAGUCCGAUAGUAGACAAGUACCGUGAGGGAAAGUUGAAAAGUACUCUGAAGAGAGAGUAAAUAGCACGUGAAGCCGCUUGCAGGGAAGCUGGUGGAGUCAAGCUUCUUGUCUUGGCGAUUGCCAUGAGAGUCGUGUGUGACGGGACGUGACGCUGGUGAGCCUGGAAACGGCCUGGUGCAGUAACAUGCAUUUCAAGUCGCUCUGGGAUGAGUGUUUGUGCCGGCGUCUAUCUCCCCUCUCUCCUGGUUUAUCGCCUCUGACAUACAUCACGGUCGAUGGGCUGUGUGCUGUGUGAGCGCUUAACUGUGUCUCUGUGGGCUUAAUCGUCUGCUGGGCAUCGAAGGGCAGAAGGCGCGUGCAGGCCUCGGCCUGUACUGUGCGUAUUGUGGUUUUGACCUGCCAGCGCUCAUGUACAGUAUCCAGUGCAUCGUUCUUAAGUGACGCGCCCUCCUCGGAGUGCGCGUCGGUGAGAACCGUGAUGCUGAGGUAGACCUUCCACCCGACCCGUCUUGA
rnacentral:rRNA from 1 species